UAAGGAAUAUUGGUCAAUGGACGCAAGUCUGAACCAGCCAUGCCGCGUGAAGAAUGAAGGUCCUCUGGAUUGUAAACUUCUUUUAUCUGGGACGAAAACGGGAUUUUUAUCUCAAUUGACGGUACCAGAGGAAUAAGCACCGGCUAACUCCGUGCCAGCAGCCGCGGUAAUACGGAGGGUGCGAGCGUUAUCCGGAUUUACUGGGUUUAAAGGGUGCGUAGGUGGGCUUAUAAGUCAGUAGUGAAAUCUCCGAGCUUAACUUGGAAACUGCCGUUGAUACUAUAGGUCGUGAAUUAUCUGGAGGUAAGCGGAAUAUGUCAUGUAGCGGUGAAAUGCUUAGAUAUGACAUAGAACACCAAUUGCGAAGGCAGCUUACUACAUAUAAAUUGACGCUGAGGCACGAAAGCGUGGGGAUCAAACA
rnacentral:rRNA from 1 species